AGAGUUUGAUCCUGGCUCAGAACGAACGCUGGCGGCGUGGAUUAGGCAUGCAAGUCGAACGGGAUCCUUGAGAUUCAAGUUUUCGGACGAGAAUCUCUUGGUGAGAGUGGCGAACGGGUGAGUAACGCGUGGGCAAUCUGCCCUCAAGUUCGGGAUAGCCCUUCGAAAGGAGGGGUAAUACCGAAUGUGGUCGUGCCGCGCAUGCGGCAUUAUCUGAAGAUGGGGAUCCUUCGGGACCUGUCGCUUGAGGAUGAGCCCGCGUCCCAUCAGCUAGUUGGUGAGGUAACGGCCCACCAAGGCUUACGGGUAGCUGGUCUGAGAGGAUGGUCAGCCACACUGGGACUGAGACACUGCCCAGACUCCUACGGGAGGCUGCAGUCGAGGAUCAUUCGCAAUGCACGAAAGUGCGACGAUGCGACGCCGCGUGCAGGAUGAAGGCCUUCGGGUUGUAAACUGCUGUCAUGAGGGAACAAUGACUUCGGGGUUAAUACCCUCGAGGAGUGAUGGUACCUCAAGAGGAAGCCACGGCUAACUCUGUGCCAGCAGCCGCGGUAAUACAGAGGUGGCGAGCGUUGUUCGGAUUUACUGGGCGUAAAGGGUGCGUAGGCGGCGUCGUAUGUCGGAUGUGAAAGGCCACGUUUCAUGCGUGGAACGCCAUUCGAAACUGCGGUGCUAGAGUACAGGAGAGGAGAGCGGAAUUCUCGGUGUAGCGGUGAAAUGCGUAGAUAUCGAGAGGAACACCGGCGGCGAAGGCGGCUCUCUGGACUGAUACUGACGCUGAGGCACGAAAGCCGGGGGAGCAAACAGGAUUAGAUACCCUGGUAGUCCCGGCCCUAAACGUUGUGCACUUGGUGUAGGUGGAAUUAUCCCCAUCUGUGCCGGAGUUAACGCGUUAAGUGCACCGCCUGGGGAGUACGGCCGCAAGGCUAAAACUCAAAGGAAUUGACGGGGGCCCGCACAAGCGGUGGAGCAUGU
rnacentral:rRNA from 1 species